rnacentral:rRNA from 1 species
GGGUCAGUAGGUCGGUCGUGCCACCGGUACGUACUGGUCUCACUGAUUCCUCCUUCCUGAGGAACCGUAAUGCCAUUAAUUUGGUGUUGCGGGGAAACAGGACUGUUACUUUGAAAAAAUUAGAGUGUUUAAAGCAAGCUAACGCUUGAAUACAUUAGCAUGGAAUAAUGAAAUAGGACGAUCGAUCCUAUUUUGUUGGUUUCUAGGAUUGACGUA